AUGAGUAUUGAUUAUUUUGAGAUGGUUUCAAGUGUAUAGUUUGAUUAUAGGUGUAUAGGAAUCGACUUUAUUUAUAUCGGAAUUUUCCCGUCGAUGGUUCCAUACGAAGGUUAUUGAAUAAGCUUUCCAACGAUAUAAAGAUUUCCAAAAACGGAUAAGUUUCGGAUAUAAGCGAGCUCAUUCAAAACUUUAAAACGGUGGCCGGGAUGUGAACAGUAAAAUGUGCAGGAAACUACUGAGGCCUGCCAGUUUUUUGGGUCAACUUUGAACGAUCAUAACUCCCUCAAUAUAAUGAACUGGUUGAGAUACCAUAUAUCAAAAGAAAGAUCUUUGAGUCUUCUUUCCAAUGAAAUUGGUUUCAUCCAAAUCCAACAUCUGAGUAAGGAGUUAUACUCGUUUUACUUCAGCCUCUCAAAACAGAUUUUUAGGGUCAACUUCAAACGAUCAUAACUACUUGUACAGGACGAACUGGGUGGAUUAAUUUAUAUUAAAUGAAAGACCUUUGAAUUAUCUUUCUAACGAUACCAAUUUCACCCAAAUCCGAUAUCGGAGCAAAGAGUUAUGGCCGAUUUACUUUAGCCUAUCAAAACAGUCCACCAUGGACAGAUUCGGAUUUACUUAAAUUUUUAAGGGCAAUAUGGUCAUUUUCCAUCACCUCAUGGACGAAAAU
rnacentral:lncRNA from 1 species